UGAACUUAAGCAUAUCAAUAAGCGGAGGAAAAGAAACCAACCGGGAUUGCCUUAGUAACGGCGAGUGAAGCGGCAAAAGCUCAAAUUUGAAAUCUGGUACCUUUGGUGCCCGAGUUGUAAUUUGGAGAGGGCAACUUUGGGACCGUUCCUUGUCUAUGUUCCUUGGAACAGGACGUCAUAGAGGGUGAGAAUCCCGUGUGGCGAGGAGUGCGGUUCUAUGUAAAGUGCCUUCGAAGAGUCGAGUUGUUUGGGAAUGCAGCUCUAAGUGGGUGGUAAAUUCCAUCUAAAGCUAAAUAUUGGCGAGAGACCGAUAGCGAACAAGUACAGUGAUGGAAAGAUGAAAAGAACUUUGAAAAGAGAGUGAAAAAGUACGUGAAAUUGUUGAAAGGGAAGGGCAUUUGAUCAGACAUGGUGUUUUGCGCCCUCUGCUCCUUGUGGGUGGGGGAAUCUCGCAGUUCACUGGGCCAGCAUCAGUUUUGGUGGCAGGAUAAAUCCGUAGGAAUGUAACUUGCUUCGGGAAGUAUUAUAGCCUAUGGGAAUACUGCCAGCUGGGACUGAGGACUGCGACGUAAGUCAAGGAUGCUGGC
rnacentral:rRNA from 1 species